GGAAGGUGCAAGCGUUAAUCGGAAUUACUGGGCGUAAAGCGCGCGUAGGCGGCUAGAUAAGUCGGGUGUGAAAGCCCCGGGCUCAACCUGGGAACUGCAUUCGAUACUGUCUGGCUAGAGUGUAAUAGAGGGAUGCGGAAUUCCGCAUGUAGCGGUGAAAUGCGUAGAGAUGCGGAGGAACACCAAUGGCGAAGGCAGCCUCCUGGAUUAACACUGACGCUGAGGUGCGAAAGCGUGGGGGGAGCAAACAGGAUUAGAUACCCUGGUAGUCCACGCCGUAAACGAUGUCAACUAGCCGUUGGGGGCACUUUGGCCCCUAGUGGCGCAGCUAACGCGAUAAGUUGACCGCCUGGGAGUACGGUCGCAAGAUUA
rnacentral:rRNA from 1 species